GUAGCCUACGGGGCGCAGCAGUGGGGAAUAUUGGGCAAUGGGCGCAAGCCUGACCCAGCAACGCCGCGUGAAGGAAGAAGGCUUUCGGGUUGUAAACUUCUUUUAUGAGGGACGAAACAAAUGACGGUACCUCAUGAAUAAGCCACGGCUAACUACGUGCCAGCAGCCGCGGUAAUACGUAGGUGGCAAGCGUUAUCCGGAUUUACUGGGUGUAAAGGGCGUGUAGCCGGGCUGACAAGUCAGAUGUGAAAUCCGGGGGCUCAACCCCCGAACUGCAUUUGAAACUGUUGGUCUUGAGUAUCGGA
rnacentral:rRNA from 1 species